CAGCCGCCGCGGGAAUACAGAGGGUGCGAGCGUUAAUCGGAUUUACUGGGCGUAAAGCGUGCGUAGGCGGCUUCUUAAGUCGGAUGUGAAAUCCCUGAGCUUAACUUAGGAAUUGCAUUCGAUACUGGGAAGCUAGAGUAUGGGAGAGGAUGGUAGAAUUCCAGGUGUAGCGGUGAAAUGCGUAGAGAUCUGGAGGAAUACCGAUGGCGAAGGCAGCCAUCUGGCCUAAUACUGACGCUGAGGUACGAAAGCAUGGGGAGCAAACAGGAUUAGAUACCCGUGUAGUCCCUGUCCUUAUACA
rnacentral:rRNA from 1 species